AAGUUGUAUGAAAGGAAAACAGUGCUCCCCUUGACAAUGGCGGAAGAAGUUUUGGCGUGCAACAUGUGUACACUUAAGGAACUGCCACUUACUUUAUGGCAUUUUAGCAAAUUUUUUU